rnacentral:rRNA from 1 species
CUUUGCAUAAAGUAUGUAGCCAUUACAUAUACCUUCUUGUCAUAUGAUUAUGAUUUAUUUGCCUAGAACUUUUGCCAUGUAAUAUUAUGCAUGUUCGUUAUUAUGUUCUUAUCUCCUGCUAUCAUUGUGAUUUAAAUUCCAACUUAUGUGGCCAACAUUAGUGGUUUCAUUUCUUCUCCAAACAAGCCCAAACAAGUAUAUUUUGAUUCGGAUUUUAUCAUCGUUAAUUCGAACCCUCUCAACUUAAGGAAUUAUUUCGGUAUUUAAAGAAUUCGAAGAAUCGUGCCCUAACGUACUGGGUUUCGUUUUCUUUGUUUGUCUUGAAUAUUCGAAUAUCCUCUUACCAGUUCACUCUAAAAAAUUUUCAAAAUAAAGGCAAUGUUCGGUAUUUAAAGAAUUCGAAGAACCGUGCCCUAACGUACUGGGUUUCGCUUUCUUUAUUUGUUUUGAAUAUUCGAAUAUCCUCUUAAGGCUAAAACACACGUUUUCAAGGCAAGUUCACAAUUGAGAGUCAAAAAUGUUGUGUCCUAACGUACUGGAUGUAAUGUUUUACCUUGAGGUGAGAUGGUCUUUAAUACACAUUUGACUUACCUAAAUGUUUUAAAAGCCAGUAAAAGGAGGACCGCAUUUUGAACUCUGUCCAAAUCUUUAAUUUUCAACAUUAAGACACUAAAUAAUCAAUCGAGUACCAAUUUUGGGUGUGUCGAGGGUGCUAAUUCUUCCUCGUACGUAACUGACUCCCGAACCGGUUUUCUAUUUUCGCAGACCAAAAUCGUUGUUUUGAAAAAUUUAUUUAUUUAUUAAAAACGACCGUGUUUUGAGGUGAUCCAAUCACACCCUAUUAAAAACGAUUGGUGGCGACUCCCAACUUUUCAUUUUCAAAAGUCGAUUUCCCGUUUUCAAAAAAAUGGUUUCGACAAUAAAUACAUACUAUGAUGAAUCACACUAUGAAUCUAUACAUUUUAGGAUUACACUAUUGAAAUUUAAAAACAUUUAUUUAUACAAUUUAUCUUUGUCAAUAAAAAAUUGUGAAUUUCUAAAUAGAAACAACCUAUAAAUUUAGAUCAUCUAAACUAUUAUAAUUGAAGUGUAUUAAAAAAGUAAGAAAUAAUUCAAAGGAAUUUUUCUCUUAUAUUUUUUUAUUUAAAUAUUCAAACAAUGACUAUUUAUUAUUAAAUAAUAUUAGUAUAACAGGUUCUAAAUUAGUUAAUUUAAAAUAUAUAUUUUUUGUAAUUAUUUUUGUUUUCACUCCAUUCAUUAUUUUUAUUGAAAAAUUCAUUGUUGAUUUUAAAUAAAAAAUAAUGUUAUAAAAAUAUUAUAAAAUUAAACUAUACAAUUAACCCAGAUACAAUCUAAUUUAUAUUUAUAUGAAAAUAAAUUAAUCUUUCUACAUCUAUCAAACCUAAACAAUCUCUCAAUCUUGUCUUUCAACAUUUAUCAUUUUUCUUAUUUUCUCUAACACACUCUAAAAUUGUACACAUAUUGAUCUAUUUUUCAAUGCCUUCAAGUGGAUUUCUUUAAUUUGGUAGCAAUUCUUCUUUUCUUUUCAAAAUUUACUGAUAAAUCUCUAAAAAAUAGGACAAUAGCUUUUCUAGUGAUAGAUUAUUAUUUUUAUGCAAUAUUCAAUUUUUAUUGAUUAAAUGAUUUUGAGAUAUUAAUUUUGUAUGAGGUAAUAUUUUUAGAAGUUGAUUAAUACUAAUCAUUGAAAAAAAUUAAGACUGCAUAAAAUUGACACAGGUGGGUAGGUAGAGAAUACCUAGGGGCGCAAGACAACUCUCUCUAAGGAACUUGAAAAUAUAGCCCCAUAACUUCGGGAGAAGGGGUGCCUCCUCACAAAAGGGGUCGCAAUGACCAGGCCUGAGUGACUGUUUACCAAAAACACAAGUCUUCGUAAAGUCGUAAGACCAUGUAUGGGGGCUGACACCUACCCAUUAUCAAAAGGUCAAGGAAGUUGGUGACCUAAUGACAGAGGAGCCGGCGACUAAAGCCCCAGUGAACGGCGGUCGUAACUAUAAUAGUUCUAAGAUAGUGAAAUUCCUUGUCGGGUAAGUUCUGACCCGUACGAAAGGCAUAACGAUUUGGGCUCUGUCUCAGAGAGAGGCUCGGUGAAAUAGACAUGUCUGUGAAGAUGUAGACCACCCGCACCCUGACAGAAAGACACUAUGAAGCUUCACUGUUCCCUAGGAUUAGCUUUGGGCUUUUCCUGUGCAGCUUAGGUGGAAGGAGAAAAAGGCCUUCUUCCGGGGGGCCCGAGCCAUUAGUGAGAUACCACUCUAGAAGAGCUAGAAUUCUAACCUUGUGUCAAGGCCUACGGGCCAAGGGACAAUCUCAAGUAGACAAUUUCUAUUAGGCGUAGGCCUCCCAAAAGGUAAUGGAGGCGUGCAAAGGUUUCCUCGGGCCGAACAAAGAUUGGCCCUCAAGUGCAAAGGCAGAAGGGAGCUUGACUGCAAGACCCACCCGUCUAGCAAGGACGAAAGUCAGCCUUAUUAAUCCAGAGGUACCGAGUGGAAAGGCCGUCACUCAACGGAUAAAAGUUACUCUAAGGAUAACAGGUUGAUCUUCCCCAAAAACUCACAUCGACAGGAAGGUUUGGCACCUCGAUGUCGGCUCAUCGCCACCUGGGCUAUAGUAUGUUCCAAGGGUUGAGUUGUUCGCCCAUUAAAGCGGUACGUGAGUUGGGUUCAGAACGUCGUGAGACAGUUCGAUCCAUAUUUGGUGCGGGCAUUAAAGCAUUGAGAGGACCUUUCCCUAGUACGAGUAUAAUCUUAAAUUUGCAUUCCAUGACACCAAAAAAUAUUUAAUUUUCGUGUUGUCUUAAUUUAUCUCAUAUUUUGUGUAAAUUGUCGUAACAAUUCUAUUUACUCAAUUGUUAUUUGGUAAAUGAAAAAAUAUUAAAAUCUUCACUUUUUUAUAGGAUUUUAUAAAUAUUAAAUUUAUAUUAUAAAUUUGUUUGGUAUAUUAGUAAAAAUUAAAUAUUGUAUAU